rnacentral:rRNA from 1 species
UACGUAGGGGGCAAGCGUUGUCCGGAAUCAUUGGGCGUAAAGCGCGUGUAGGCGGUUCGGUAAGUCUGCUGUGAAAGUCCAGGGCUCAACCCUGGGAUGCCGGUGGAUACUGUCGGACUAGAGUACGGAAGAGGCGAGUGGAAUUCCCGGUGUAGCGGUGAAAUGCGCAGAUAUCAGGAGGAACACCAAUGGCGAAGGCAGCUCGCUGGGACGUGACUGACGCUGAGACGCGAAAGCGUGGGGAGCAAACAGG